AGCAGUAGCCGCGGGAAUACGUAGGUGGCAAGCGUUGUCCGGAAUUAUUGGGCGUAAAGCGAGCGCAGGCGGUUAGAUAAGUCUGAAGUUAAAGGCUGUGGCUUAACCAUAGUGCGCUUUGGAAACUGUUUAACUUGAGUGCAAGAGGGGAGAGUGGAAUUCCAUGUGUAGCGGUGAAAUGCGUAGAUAUAUGGAGGAACACCGGUGGCGAAAGCGGCUCUCUGGCUUGUAACUGACGCUGAGGCUCGAAAGCGUGGGGAGCAAACAGGAUUAGAUACCCGGGUAGUCCCUGUCUCUUAUACA
rnacentral:rRNA from 1 species